rnacentral:rRNA from 1 species
AGCGAACGCUGGCGGCAGGCUUAACACAUGCAAGUCGAGCGGGCAUCUUCGGAUGUCAGCGGCAGACGGGUGAGUAACACGUGGGAACGUACCCUUCGGUUCGGAACAACUCUGGGAAACUGAAGCUAAUACCGGAUACGCCCUUAUGGGGAAAGGUUUACUGCCGAAGGAUCGGCCCGCGUCUGAUUAGCUAGUUGGUGGGGUAACGGCCUACCAAGGCGACGAUCAGUAGCUGGUCUGAGAGGAUGAUCAGCCACACUGGGACUGAGACACGGCCCAGACUCCUACGGGAGGCAGCAGUGGGGAAUAUUGGACAAUGGGCGCAAGCCUGAUCCAGCCAUGCCGCGUGAGUGAUGAAGGCCUUAGGGUUGUAAAGCUCUUUUGUCCGGGACGAUAAUGACGGUACCGGAAGAAUAAGCCCCGGCUAACUUCGUG